rnacentral:tRNA from 1 species
GCCCAGCUAGCUCAGUCAAUAGAGCAUUAGACUCUUAAUCUCAGGGUCAUGGGUUCAUGCCCCACACUGGACA